CCUACGGGUGGCAGCAGUGGGGAAUAUUGGGCAAUGGGCGCAAGCCUGACCCAGCAACGCCGCGUGAAGGAAGAAGGCUUUCGGGUUGUAAACUUCUUUUAAGGGGGAAGAGCAGAAGACGGUACCCCUUGAAUAAGCCACGGCUAACUACGUGCCAGCAGCCGCGGUAAUACGUAGGUGGCAAGCGUUGUCCGGAUUUACUGGGUGUAAAGGGCGUGCAGCCGGAGAGACAAGUCAGAUGUGAAAUCCACGGGCUCAACCCGUGAACUGCAUUUGAAACUGUUUCCCUUGAGUGUCGGAGAGGUAAUCGGAAUUCCUUGUGUAGCGGUGAAAUGCGUAGAUAUCAGGAGGAACACCGGCGGCGAAGGCGGCCUGCUGGACCGCGACUGACGUUGAGGCUCGAAAGCGUGGGGAGCGAACAGGAUUAGAUACCCGGGUAGUC
rnacentral:rRNA from 1 species